UGCAGUCGAGCGAACAGACGAGGAGCUUGCUCCUCUGACGUUAGCGGCGGACGGGUGAGUAACACGUGGAUAACCUACCUAUAAGACUGGGAUAACUUCGGGAAACCGGAGCUAAUACCGGAUAAUAUAUUGAACCGCAUGGUUCAAUAGUGAAAGACGGUUUUGCUGUCACUUAUAGAUGGAUCCGCGCCGCAUUAGCUAGUUGGUAAGGUAACGGCUUACCAAGGCAACGAUGCGUAGCCGACCUGAGAGGGUGAUCGGCCACACUGGAACUGAGACACGGUCCAGACUCCUACGGGAGGCAGCAGUAGGGAAUCUUCCGCAAUGGGCGAAAGCCUGACGGAGCAACGCCGCGUGAGUGAUGAAGGUCUUCGGAUCGUAAAACUCUGUUAUUAGGGAAGAACAAAUGUGUAAGUAACUAUGCACGUCUUGACGGUACCUAAUCAGAAAGCCACGGCUAACUACGUGCCAGCAGCCGCGGUAAUACGUAGGUGGCAAGCGUUAUCCGGAAUUAUUGGGCGUAAAGCGCGCGUAGGCGGUUUUUUAAGUCUGAUGUGAAAGCCCACGGCUCAACCGUGGAGGGUCAUUGGAAACUGGAAAACUUGAGUGCAGAAGAGGAAAGUGGAAUUCCAUGUGUAGCGGUGAAAUGCGCAGAGAUAUGGAGGAACACCAGUGGCGAAGGCGACUUUCUGGUCUGUAACUGACGCUGAUGUGCGAAAGCGUGGGGAUCAAACAGGAUUAGAUACCCUGGUAGUCCACGCCGUAAACGAUGAGUGCUAAGCGGUUAGGGGGUUUCCGCCCCUUACUGCUGCAGCUAACGCAUUAAGCACUCCGCCUGGGGAGUACGACCGCAAGGUUGAACUCAAAGGAAUUGACGGGGACC
rnacentral:rRNA from 1 species